GAACACGUGUGUGGCUUGCUGGUUGCGUGUUUGGGGCGCGUCGUCUGAACGGAACAGCCAGGACCUCCGGGGGUGCAGUGGGGGGUGAGCGCGCAAGACCUCCUGAUGACAGAGUCAUGACGUCUUUCGCGCACAUCCUUUCCAAUCAAACAUUCAUUUAGUUGGUGGCAGUUAGCAAUACAAAACACGUGUGAUUGCAGUAUACGGGAUCUCCCGGUGCCCGCGAAUAACGAGAUCCAUAAUUGCAGGGGAGGUUCGCUGGAGGCGUGUGCAAUAAAUUGGGCAAGGUCCAUUAAUCCAGAUUUUUAUUCUUAUUUUUAUAAAACGAUUUCCUGUAGAUGAGGACUGGACGUAGCCUUUCCCAAAGCUCUGGUUUUCCCAGUAGUGAUGUAUGGAAGUGAGAGCUGGACCAUAAAGAAGGCUGAUCGCCGAAGAAUGGAUGCUACUGAAUUCUGGUGCUGGAGGAGACUCUUGAGAGUCCCAUGGACUGCAAGAAGAUCAGACCUCUCCAUUCUGAAGGAAAUCAGCCCUGGGUGCUCACUGGAAGGACAGAUCCUGAAGCUGAGGCUCCAGCACUUUGGCCACCUCAUGAGAAGAGAAGACUCCCUGGAAAAGACCCUGAUGCUGGGAAAGAUGGAGGGCACAAGGAGAAGGGGACGACGGAGGACGAGAUGGUGGGACAGUGUUCUCGAAGCUACCAGCAUGAGUUUGACCAAACUGCAGGAGGCAGUGGAAGACAGGAGGGCCUGGCAUGCUCUGGUCCAGGGGGUCACAAAGAGGCGGACACGACUAAACGACUAAACAACAACAACAACAUUUUUUGUGUGAGAUCCCGCAGUCCCAUUGCAAAGGCUGCUUGUCUCCCAAGUCAUGCAGGCACACAAACAGACGCCCAGCUCACUUGGUGCAAACGCUCAGAUAAUUCCAAACUGGGCGUCGAGUUGCGUUUGAACAACAAGGGCUGGGGAAGGGCGAUAAGGUGCCCCCCACCCCGCGGCUAGGAGCCGUUGGGCGCUGAUCCAGGGGCUUUUCCAGCACCCUGAGAGUAGCUCAGGGCAGAGGCGUUCUGGCCAGCGAAACUCCGGAGGCGCCGCUGGCCUCCAAUCCAGGAAAAUUAGAGCACAUCACAUUUUGCAGCGAAAGGAGGCAGAAAUGCUUCUGGAUGCUUCCAGCUGUUGGAAACCUCAGGAGGGGAGAGUUGCCUUUGCCCUCUGUUUUUGUUUUGGAGGCUCCUCCUUGGGGCACCUGGUUGGCCACCGUGAGAACAGGACGCUGGGGUAGAUGGGUGAUGGCCUCUUCCCAUGUUCUGACAUUAAAAAGUGGGAACACGAAACACCAGAAUUUGCGACCAUCCAGUGAUGGUCCCUAUCUUCCCUAUCUUCUUCUUCUUCUUUGGUGAUCCCUCGUAGCCGAGUAAGAUGGUCUUCCAUAAACACGGUUUUAACAGUGAAUCCGUAAGUGACUGUGGAGGCCAAUUCUGGACCCACACGUCCUUCCACAGUGGGGACAUUGGUUUCCAGGUGGGAGUUGAUCAUGGUGUGGAUUUGCCAAGCGUGCCUUCCUCUUAGCACAUUUCUCCCUUGCGUCCUGAGUUCGAGUGUCUUCAAAGCUCAUGACACCUUUGGUAAAGGCUGUUCUCCAACUGCAGCGCUCGCAGGCCAAUAUUUCCCAAUUAUCAGUGUUUAUACUACAUUUUUUUAGAUUUGCCUUGAGACAGUCUUUAAACCUCUUUUGUUGACCACCAGCAUUACGCUUUAAGUUCGGAAUAGAGUAGUUACUUUGGAAGACGAUCAUCCGGCAUCCGCACAACAUGACCAGUCCAACGAAGUUGAUAUUGAAGAAUCAUCGCUUUGACACAGCUGAUCUUUGCUUCUUCCAGUUCACUGAUAUUAGUUCGCCUGUCUUCCCAAGUGAUGUGUAAAAUUUUUUGGAGACACCGUUAAUGGAAUCUUUCGAGGAGUUGGAGAUGGCGUUUAUAAGUGGUCCACAUUUCACUAGCAUACAGUAAGGUUGGUAGUACAAUAGCUUUGUAAACAAGCAUUUUGGUUUCCCUGCGAAUGUCCCGGUCCUCAAACACUCUGCACUUCAAUUGGGAGAAAGCCACACUCACAGAGCUCAGGCGAUGCUGAAUUUUGGCAUCAAUGUUGGCCCUUGUGGAAAGAUAACUGCCUAGGUAGGAGAAGCGAUCGACAUUUUCCAACGUUACACCACUGAGUUGGAUUUGUGGCGCUGCAGAGGGGUUAUUUUGUACUUGUUGGUGCAGCACUUUGGCUUUUUGGAUGUUGAGCGACAGGCCAAGCUUUUCGUAAGCUUCUGCAAAGAUAUUUAGGAUGGUUUGGAGGUCACCCUCUGAGCGUGCGCACACUACGUUGUCAUCAGCAUACUGAAACUCUGACGGAAGUUACGGUAACCUUACUCUUUGCUUUCAGCCUGCUCAGAUUGAAAAGCUUUCUUUCCAUCUGUUUGAUAUAUGAUUUCUACUCCGGUGGGGAGUUUCCCUUCGACAAAGUGUAGGAUCAUGGCAAUGAAAAUAAUGAAUAGAGUUGGGGCAAUAACACAACCCUGGAAUAAACCCUUCGAAUAGAUCAAGGAGGAUUAGGUAAAUUCCUAGAGGAGGAAGGCAAGCAACAGGUUACCAGCCACAGUGGUUAUUCUCUCCCAUCACAGUUGGAUUCUGUGUCCAGUUCUGGGCAGCGCAAUUUAAGAAGGAUGUUGACAGGCUGGAAGGUGUGCAGAGGAGGGAGACGAGAUGAUCAAGGGUCUGGAAACCGAACCUUGUGAGGAAUGGUUGAGGGAGUUGGGGAUGUUUAGCCAGGAAAAGAGGAGAGGAGAUAUAAGAGCCAUCUUCACUUAUCUC
rnacentral:lncRNA from 1 species